rnacentral:rRNA from 1 species
AUGGAGGGGUGGUUCAGCUUGUGUUUCAUUGCACUAGGCACACCGCUUGCCCUUUGGCUUCUCAAGCUCGCCGGCGCCGGCGGCAAGAACAAGCCACACAAGCACCAGCUGCCGCCAGGGCCAUGGACACUCCCGAUAAUCGGCAGCCUCCACCACGUCGUUAGCCUCGUCCCACACCGGCAAAUCACGCAGCUGUGUCGCCGAUAUGGGCCAAUGAUGCACCUGAAGCUAGGCGAGGUCGACGCCGUGGUGGUCUCCAGCGCCGAGGCGGUGGCGCAGGUGAUGAAGACCAACGACCUCGCGUUCUCCACCAGGCCAGGCACGCAGAUGCAGGACAUCGCCGGCUAUGGCGGCAGGGGCAUCAUCUUCGCCCCCUAUGGCGACCACUGGCGCCAGAUGCACAAGGUUUGCAUUGUGGAGCUGCUCAGCUCCAUGCAGGUCAGGCGCAUGGAGAGCAUCCGGCCAGAGGAGGUUGGCAACCUCCUGGCCGACAUCGCCACUGCUGCGGCGGCCGGCGACAGCAUCAACAUCAGCAAGAAGAUGAUGGAGGUCAGCAACAAUGUCAUGUCGCGGGCGGUGUUCGGCGGCAGGUUCACGCAGCAGGACGAGUACAUCCGCGAGUUAGACGUGGUGCUCACCCUGCUAGGCGGCUUCUGCCUCGUCGACCUCUUCCCAUUGUUGCGGUUGGCGCGGUGGCUCAGCUUCGGCGCACGGCGCAUGAAGAGGAGCUACAGCAACAUGCAAUGCAUCAUCGUCAAUGUGAUCGAGGAGCGCAAGGCCGCGCGAGCUGCUGGUGAUGGCGCCUCAAGCACCCACGACGAGGACCUACCGGACGUGCUGCUCAGGCUACAGAAGGAUGAUUCGUUGGCAUUUCCUCUAACCACAGAGAGCAUAUGCGCCGUCUUAUUUGUGAGUAUUUUUAACAAAAGAAACUUUUUUUUACUGCUAGCUGAUGCAAACAACGGCACAAAUUUUGCAUAUGACACGAGAUAG